rnacentral:rRNA from 1 species
GACGGAGGAUGCAAGUGUUAUCCGGAAUCACUGGGCGUAAAGCGUCUGUAGGUCGUUCAAUAAGUCAACUGUUAAAUCUUGAGGCUCAACCUCAAAAUCGCAGUCGAAACUAUUAGACUAGAGUAUAGUAGGGGUAAAGGGAAUUUCCAGUGGAGCGGUGAAAUGCGUAGAGAUUGGAAAGAACACCGAUGGCGAAGGCACUUUACUGGGCUAUUACUAACACUCAGAGACGAAAGCUAGGGUAGCAAAUGGG